CUGGGGCACUCUGCUAGAUACCGGCUGCCACCUAGAUGUGGAGCCAUUGAUCGCUACCCGUUGAGCCUGACAAUCUAGCCAUCUUUCUAUCCACCUUAUAGUCCAUUCAUCCAGCUCAUACUUCUUUAACUUGCUGGCAAGAAUACUGUGGGAUACCAUGUC